AAUGCAAGUCGAGCGGACAGAUGGGAGCUUGCUCCCUGAUGUUAGCGGCGGACGGGUGAGUAACACGUGGGUAACCUGCCUGUAAGACUGGGAUAACUCCGGGAAACCGGGGCUAAUACCGGAUGGUUGUUUGAACCGCAUGGUUCAAACAUAAAAGGUGGCUUCGGCUACCACUUACAGAUGGACCCGCGGCGCAUUAGCUAGUUGGUGAGGUAACGGCUCACCAAGGCAACGAUGCGUACCCGACCUGAGAGGGUGAUCGGCCACACUGGGACUGAGACACGGCCCAGACUCCUACGGGAGGCAGCAGUAGGGAAUCUUCCGCAAUGGACGAAAGUCUGACGGAGCAACGCCGCGUGAGUGAUGAAGGUUUUCGGAUCGUAAAGCUCUGUUGUUAGGGAAGAACAAGUACCGUUCGAAUAGGGCGGUACCUUGACGGUACCUAACCAGAAAGCCACGGCUAACUACGUGCCAGCAGCCGCGGUAAUACGUAGGUGGCAAGCGUUGUCCGGAAUUAUUGGGCGUAAAGGGCUCGCAGGCGGUUUCUUAAGUCUGAUGUGAAAGCCCCCGGCUCAACCGGGGAGGGUCAUUGGAAACUGGGGAACUUGAGUGCAGAAGAGGAGAGUGAAUUCCACGUGUAGCGGUGAAAUGCGUAGAGAUGUGGAGGAACACCAGUGGCGAAGGCGACUCUCUGGUCUGUAACUGACGCUGAGGAGCGAAAGCGUGGGGAGCGAACAGGAUUAAUACCCUGUA
rnacentral:rRNA from 1 species